AUAGACAGUACGAUGCAUGCAAUUUUAAAAUUUUAUGUAGCGAAACUAUUAGAUUAAACAAUAACCUAAUUUACAUGCAUAAGAUCUAAUCUAGACUACCAUGUCAAAAUCUAUAAUAUGAUUUUACAUACACAUAAGAUCUGAAAAUAAAACUUACAUCGAUCUAAUCAAUGCUGCAAUCUAAAUCUAACCCUUAGAUCUAUCAAAAAUGAUCAAACAAGUUCAAAAACCAUUACCAAACUAUAAACUUCUGAUCUCUACUGGUCCAACACUUGGAUAGAUGCUCCUCUAGGUUGCUCACAGCUACACGAAGAUGUCAGGCCUCUACAAAAUAUCCACAUGAAGAUCGGCG
rnacentral:lncRNA from 1 species